UUUGAUUCGAUUCCCUCCUCCUUUUCGGACCUCCAAUCGCUGCAUCAUAUGAAUGUUUGAUUCAGGAGAUGUCCGCCGCUCCUAUAGCCUCUCUUCCACCGAGGGUUCGCCCUCGCUUCCAUCCAGCUACGGAUGGUAUCAUUUGGCUCUCUUAUUUGACCUAAUUAGGGCUCUGGGCACGGAUUGGUUUUCCAUUUGGCGAUUUGAACUGGAGAAGUCCAUUUUUUAUGGUUUGUUCGAUCCUGACUUCUUCGUUUAUUCUCGUUUUGCUGCCUCGUUGUCGGAGACACCUUUGGGCCUAUGAGUCGAUUUUGUUAUAUAAGCAUUUAUCGAAGUCAUGAUAAAAUUAAACUACAAAAGGCUACUUCAGGGAUCGUUUUGGCUUGUCGGUUCCCAAAUCGGCAUCUUUCUCGGUGACGAUAGCUGCAAGCUCUAUGACAUGUUUCCAUUGAUGUUUGAUGCGGUUCGACCAGCAUGAUAUGUAUACAUAUUCGGAAGUUGAAAUUAUUAGUUUUGAAUAACAACAAAAAAUGGAUCUCUUUGGUGUUGAUAAACUUUGCAGCUUAAGAUGCACUUCAGAUGCUAGUAACAGUAUCAAAGUUAAUAUCUGAGAUCAAAGAAGCAAGACUCAAGGGCAGAGCUUUAAGUGUUCGAUGGUUGUCUUCAAUCAUAUUUUCUACCGAAAUAUAUCAUCGGAUAACAACAGAAUAUUUGCUGCCCGAAAUAGAACAAAAGAGAUGUGGAUUGGUCAAGAUGUUGACUAACCUAGUUUACAGGAAAUAGUUGUUGCAACAUGCUGUACAUCGUUCUUUCCAAUAACCUGAAGAUGUUUGUUUAAAGCUUCUCAGUUUUUACUCAUGUUUUAGCUAAGUUGUAUAAUUAUGCCCAUUCUAUCCACAAAUAUUCUUGGCUUUGCCAGCAACAGAUACGUUUUUCUCCUAAGCAUAAACCAAUAAUUGUUUUUUUUUCUUUUUCCUUUAGUUUCUUAUGGCUGGUGUAACAUGGUAUAGCAUUUGAUUGAAUUUUCAGGGAAGUAAGGUAACCAGAAGAAGUUGCUCUACAUGUAAAGCUUUUGACCUUCUAUCUGGCCCAGGUUUUUAUAUAUAGUUGGACAAGUAGUAAAAUAGACAGAGCAGAUGGCUGUUGUAGAAUUUACUCCGAAAGGGGUUCCAACUGCAGUGAAGAAUAGAAAAGAAGAAGAAACAUGAUAAAUGUUAUCUCUGGAUGCUCCUCUUUCAGUGUUUGCUCUUCUAUCAUUUGUUUUUUUUUCUUUCUGGUUCUUUAGUUUACCUUUAUUCUCAAAGACUGUUAAGUAUAAGAUUGGAAGAAACAAGAUAAAUGUUAUCUCUGGAUGCUCCUCUUUCAGUAUAUGCUCUUCUGUCAUUUUUUUUUUCCUGGUUCUUUAGUUUACCUUUAUUCUCAAAGACUGCUAACUAUAAGAUUGGCUCUACUUUUGAUUCUUUUUAUUCCCUUAGAUUUGUUCAGCAUAGGAUUAUUUUUUAAAAAGUGAAAGUUGAAUUAUUUAAAAGCUAAUGUGUUUGCCAACUCAGGCGAAUAACAUUUUCCUCUACAUAAGCCGUUAAGGUCCUCUUGAAGUUUUAUUUACUCUUGUUCGUAUGUGUUUGUGUCCCAAAAUUUAUGUACAAUUUAGCUGGUUUAUUUUCGUAAAAUCUGUCAAUUCUCUGGCUAAGAAUAUUGGAUGAUGCUUUCAUGUUAAAGUAACAAUUUUUGCACUGUUCCGGAGGUGAAUAGUAGGAUCUCUUAUGUGAAAAUCAAGGGUGAAUUUUGGUGCCACCGUAAGAUGUCCAUUUGCAACUUUGGUAGUCAGAGCUAGGGUCAUGGAACAUCUGCUUUGUUGUAUUUUGUAUUAAUGGGAGCCUUGUGUAAUGGCUUACAUUCUUUUUAUUUCUCAUUGCAAUGGAUAACAUCCUCAAACUUUUCAUACAUAAAGCUUGAAACAUUACAAUAUCUUUGAACAUUUCAAACCUUGUAGGGGGCUCAAUGAUGAAGGUAAUAUAGCAACUUAAAAUGGACUUGCACUAUUAGAAACUGCUAGGCCUUUUUAAAUUUCACUGGUGUAUCACUGAAAGUUUCAUAUAUAACUAUAUAUAUAGACAUAUAACUUCCACUAGUGGAUUGUUAAAUAUUUCAUAUAUAUUCCUCAUCACACAGGAAAUUACAAUACUGACAAUAAAACAAUCUACUAUCCUUUUGGCUUGUAAAUGGAGCAUCAUACCUUUCAGCCUAUCAAGCAUGUUGAGUUUUCAAAGAGCUUUGCAGUUCUAAUGCUCACCAUUUGUUUUGCAUAUAAUUUUAUGAAGAGAAAUAUGUUCUGUUUUCUUUAUGAAUUUUUGUUGUUUUUGGCCAAUUAUUUUUUGUUCUAUAUAUAGUAAUCUAUGCAUCUACAGCUCCUUGUUAGAUUCAAUUUUAAUUCAUUUGAGCAGGUAAGCUGUUAAUUUGACUAAUUCUGAAGUGCUACUUACAGAUGUUUUGAGAAAGAUUUCUAAUUUGCAAGAUAGUCUCUCAUGGGCAAGCAAAGGGUUGCUUAUGGAGUGUGUUAUCACUCAUUGACGCCAGCACAUGAAAGGUUAUCAAUGAUGAGCACUAUCAGUACCUGAUAACUUCCGAUGACAUGGAUCACGACGAAUAUAUUGGCCGUUGCAAUCAACCACCUUGGCUUCUCAAGGGUGAUGAGAAUGUUGUCAUCAACAACAUUGCCAAAGGCCCAGUAUCCAAUUAGAGCAACAGGGAAGUAGCAAAUAGCAACAACAAGCACCACAUUGUGCCCUGCAUAUGCAAAGGCAACAUCUCCCAGCGCACUGAGGAAGUUGAAGACAACUCCUGUUGUGGUUGAAGCCUUGUAGCUGUAAUCAACAUCUGGUUGGCCUUUCUCCACGGAUGCAACCCAGGCAAUGGUAGAGUAGCUGAUCAUAUCGCAGAGGUACCUGAGGGACAUGACAGCCGCGGCCAAGGAGACGCCUGAGAUGGAGUUGAAGUCGGGAAGCUGAGAGAGAACAAACUGCACGGAGGCGAAGAUCAUGAUGAAGUAAGAAAGCUUGAUGUUCUUGCAGUCGGGGCAGAUGGUGUCGUGGAACUUCUUGAUGGACCUGCCACCGGUGACCAUGUACACGAUGUCGGUGCCGACCUCCACGAUCAGCUGCUGCGGGACGAUGAUCCAGAGCCCGAGCUUUUCUCCAAACACAUGCUGUCCCAGCUCGUGGUAGCGGUCGAAUCGCUUGCCAGGGACCAUCUCGUGCAUCUCCACCAUCUGCCAUAGGGUGUACAAGGUGAUGAUCCACGACAAGACGAGCACCGCCACGCCAGGCCCCCUGAGUUUGCGGCAACAUUAGUCUGAUGACACUCAUCCUAGAUCGAAUUGAAGUUGGAUUCGAAAUCAAAAGAUGAUUUAACAAUAAGAUCAUGAGAUCGAACUUGCAUCUCGUCGAUCGAGACGUAAAGUCAGGCUUUAAAGGAAGGCUUUAGAUGAGAUGAGAUGAGGAAAGUAUACCAUCCGAGUUCUGCCAUGGCGUAGGGCAAGCUGAGGACGCCGGCGCCGACCAUGGCCGUGACAUUGUGGAAGGCAGAGUACCACC